rnacentral:rRNA from 1 species
GACGAACGCUGGCGGCGUGCUUAACACAUGCAAGUCGAACGGACAGGCCCUGCUUUUGCGGGGUGCUCGAGUGGCGAACGGGUGAGUAACACACGAGUAACCUGCCCUUGACUUUGGGAUAACUUUUGGAAACUGGGGCUAAUAUCGGAUAGGAGCUACUGAUGCAUGGUGGGGGUUGGAAAGUUUCGGCGGUUGGGGAUGGACUCGCGGCUUAUCCGCUUGUUGGUGGGGUUGUGGCUUACAAAGGCUUUGAAGGAUAGCCGGCCUGAGAGGGGGGCCGGGCACAUUAGGACUGAGGUACGGCCCAGACGCGUACGGGAGGCAGCAGUGGGGAAUAUGGCACAAUGGGCGGAAGCCUGAGGCAGCGACGCCGCGUGCGUGAUGACGUCCUUCGGGUUGUAAACCGCUUUCGCCUGUGACGAAGCGUGAGUGACGGUAAUGAGUAAAGAAGCACCGGCUAACUACGUG